ensembl:lncRNA
GAAAGAUUCCCCUCAUGCAGAUUUUGCAUCAGGUUCAACUGGUCUUGCAAAUUCACAAUGAUGACAAGCAGAAACCUGUUUGUUUUGAAAGUGACUUCUGAGUGAGUUGUGCUUCAUACAUCUCUACACUAUCGAUCGUUUAUCUUCAGAUUUUCAUUAAAGUAAUUCUUAUUUUUAACAGCAAUCCACACAAAUUCAUUACUAGAUUAUUGACUUUUUUUUUUUCCUCGAGGAAUUUCACUAAUGCGACCAAACCUUAGCUAUAACUGGCUUAAGAAAUGAGAACGCAGAGUUUUGAGGUCGCAGCGGCCAUGGAGCUCGUUCAAAUACUGAGGUGCUAAACCACUCAGGGCUUUACAUCUUGGUUUGGUGUAUGAGGCCUUACAAUGAAUAUAGGCAAUUCACCCCCAAUCCAGAAGGGGGCACCUGCAGCAGUGCAACGCUGAUUGAUAAACGGCCGCCAGCAGAAGAACAGCGAAUGCCGAUGUUAAUUGGAUGACUGAAGAAGUGUAGAUUACUUGUGGAUUAUCGUGAUGUUUUUAUCAGCUGUUUGGACUCUCAUUCUGACGGCACCCAUUCACUGCAGAGGAUCCAUUGUUGAGCAAGAGCUGUAAUGUUAUAUUUCUCCAAAUCUGAUGAAGAAACAAACUCAUCUCCAUCUUGGAUGGCAUGAGGGUGAGAAAUUUUCUGCGAAGUUUCAUUUUUAGUUAACUAUUCCUUUUAUCUGGUAUUAUUAAGGGGAGUUUUAAGGUUUUAGAUUUUUUAGCACUUUUAACAUGGAUCAUUUACUUAUCACAGUGUUAAAUUACUUGAGUGGUUACAUUCAUUGAUGCAUUUUGACUAAAUAAAUACAUUUAAAAAGAUUACUUUUUUCAGGUAACCAGGAAAGAAACACAUUACUUUUUAAUUAAAAAAAGUAUUUAAUCUCAGUUUAGUAACCAAUGUCUAAAGUAAGAGUGUUGAACUUUCUUCUCUUGCAUCCUAUUCUUCCACAAUCCAGAAUGGCAGCACAGCUGAGAGGUUUGUUUGAACUGUAC